GACGAGCGCUGGCGGCGUGCUUAACACAUGCAAGUCGAACGAAGAGCGAUGGAAGCUUGCUUCUAUCAAUCUUAGUGGCGAACGGGUGAGUAACGCGUAAUCAACCUGCCCUUCAGAGGGGGACAACAGUUGGAAACGACUGCUAAUACCGCAUACGAUCUAACCUCGGCAUCGAGGAUAGAUGAAAGGUGGCCUCUACAUGUAAGCUAUCACUGAAGGAGGGGAUUGCGUCUGAUUAGCUAGUUGGAGGGGUAACGGCCCACCAAGGCGAUGAUCAGUAGCCGGUCUGAGAGGAUGAACGGCCACAUUGGGACUGAGACACGGCCCAGACUCCUACGGGAGGCAGCAGUGGGGAAUCUUCCGCAAUGGACGAAAGUCUGACGGAGCAACGCCGCGUGAGUGAUGACGGCCUUCGGGUUGUAAAGCUCUGUUAAUCGGGACGAAAGGCCUUCUUGCGAAUAGUUAGAAGGAUUGACGGUACCGGAAUAGAAAGCCACGGCUAACUACGUG
rnacentral:rRNA from 1 species